rnacentral:rRNA from 1 species
UACAGAGGUCCCAAGCGUUGUUCGGAUUCAUUGGGCGUAAAGGGUGUGUAGGUGGCGCCGUAAGUCGGGUGUGAAAUUUCGGAGCUUAACUCCGAAACUGCAUUCGAUACUGCGGUGCUUGAGGACUGGAGAGGAGACUGGAAUUCAUGGUGUAGCAGUGAAAUGCGUAGAGAUCAUGAGGAAGACCAGUGGCGAAGGCGGGUCUCUGGACAGUUCCCGACACUGAGACACGAAGGCCAGGGGAGCAAACGGG